rnacentral:rRNA from 1 species
CGAGUGAAGCGGGAAGAGCUCAAAUUUGAAAGCUGGCGUCUUCGGCGUCCGCGUUGUAAUCUCGAGAAGUGUUUUCCGCGCUGGACCAUGUACAAGUUCCUUGGAAUAGGACGUCAUAGAGGGUGAAAAUCCCGUACUUGACAUGGACGCCCAGUGCUUUGUGAUACGCUCUCCACGAGUCGAGUUGUUUGGGAAUGCAGCUCAAAAUGGGUGGUAAAUUCCAUCUAAAGCUAAAUAUUGGGGAGAGACCGAUAGCGAACAAGUACCGUGAGGGAAAGAUGAAAAGCACUUUGGAAAGAGAGUUAAAUAGUACGUGAAAUUGUCGAAAGGGAAGCGCUUGAAGUUAGACGUGCUUGUCGGGAUUCAGCCUUGCUUUUGCAUGGUGUAUUUCCCGGCGGGCAGGCCAGCAUCAGUUUUGCCUGUCGGAUAAGGGUAGGAGGAAUGUGGCCCCUCGGGGUGUUAUAGCCUUCUACUGGAUACGAUGGGCGGGACUGAGGACCGCAGUGCGCCUUUAUGGCGGGCCUUCGGGCACCUUCGCACUUAGGAUGCUGGCGUAAUGGCUUUAAGCGACCCGUCUUGAA